CGCGCCUAUAAAUACCAUAGGAACGACUUCCAUCGUUUCAUCUAAACCUCAGGCCUCUGUCUUUAGCCUUACUUCCCUGCUGUGAGACGCGACUACCUGCUGAGUGCUGAGUGACGCAACUGGUUUGUAGAGGCCACAAGGGAAUCCUUUCUAUUUCUUGGAUUUGCAAAGGCGAGCUAGAAUAGAGCUGGUUUGCCAAUUAGAGAAUUUGGAGUUAUUGCGUAUCGAAGACCUUGCCGGCAUAAUCUUACAGUCAAGAAAGGCAAGUUCAUCGCUUGCUCAUGUCAUUUGAGUAUUUUUACCAAAUUACUUGCAAAAUACUAUAAUUAUCACUCUUGCAUGAAAAGCAAAAAUACUAAUUUCAUAACUAUGAAUAUGACUAUGUGGUGGGCAAUGGAACCGUGGAAUGUGUUGAUAUGGUGGAGGUUCCAUUGCAAUGGGUUUAUAUCCAUCUAGGAUUAACAACAAAUGUCGUCCAGUGAUUCUUGUGCCGUAAAACUCGUGUUAACCAUAAGAUCUGGAGUGGGACGGAGUAGUCAAUUGGAUUUUCACCUCUCGUACAUCAACGGAUGCGCUUAGCGUAGCAGUUGUGUCUUGCGAGAACAACCGGUGGGUGGGGAUCCCCUUCUAAUUCCCCACGGUAAUGCGGUCUAUGAUAGGUUGCAUUGGCCAGCGAAGGACCAUGGUUGCGACCUGGUAGUUGUCGAGGUCGGAAGAUAUCCAUGUGAUAUAGCCCGGCGAGGACCUAAGGUCGGAUUUGCAACAAAGGGUGGGUGUGCGAGGUAGCAGAGGAAUAUGAUUGGGUAAGACCUUAUACCGGGCCUCACACCAAAGGAAGUGUGGACGGGAAACUCGAGCCGGGUUGGCACCAAGGUUAAGAUCUCUUAUGGGUAAAGCAACACACCUCUGCAGAGUGUAAUGAAUCGUGACCUGUCACUCCCUGUUCCGGGUUAUGGAACUGCGAACGCUGCCGAAAAGGAACUCCAUGAAGUUCUAGUAAACCGGUGAAGGCUGACGGACAUAGUUGUUCUGAAUAAAAGCAACCUUUUGAAGAAAUGGUUAUGAAAACCUGCAUUGGUAUUAGACUUUCUGGUCUAAUGCUGUAGCUAGUGCAUUAAACACCUCUUUCCUAUAAUGAACUUGUUGAGUACGCUCGUACUCAUCCCACCCUUAAAUGCCCUGCUUAGAUAUGGAAGCAUCGAAGGAGGAUCUACAGUGCAACUCGAAGACCGAGGAGUCCACCACUACUUCAAGGAACAGGAACUUGUCAAAAGAGAGUCAAAUACCACAUCCAACAAGCACUACAAGAAAAGUUUCCAUGGCCAACGAAGUUGAAGUCACGCCGUGGUUGCUGGUGCACCAUGGCCGACGAUUUUGGGUCUCUCCGUGGUGCAUGUCAAAAAAAAAUCUCGUUUUUGAGGCCACCUAGCCCGAUGAAAGCGUCCAAAACGUCUCGUAUGGUGGCCCGGGACGUGGUGCAUCGCGAAUUCUCGGGUUCGCCGGCCGAGUCAACGCAAAUCCGCACCGCCCAGGGAUGUAGGGCCCAGAUGGCAGCCUCUCUAGCAUUGUUUUUUUUCUCGAUCGCGCCAUCUCGUUCAACGCUCUCCGAUCGAGCCGUUUACGAUGUUGGAUCAUGGGUCCCGCAUGUCAUCCUCUAUGAACCAAAAUUCUUUCUAUUCUUGGAUUUUUUGACCCCCUGAUUUCUGGCUACUUCCUUUUUCUUUUGAUCCUGUGCCGCCUUGGAAACGUUGAGACCAACAACAACAACAACAACAACAACAACCAAGCCUUUCAGUCCCAAACAAGUUGGGGUAGGCUAGAGUUGAAACCCAUAAGAUCUCGAAGCAAAGUCAUGGUUCUGGAACGUGGAUAGCUAACUUCCACGCACCCCUAUCCAUGGCUAAAUCUUUGUCAAUAUUCCAAACCUUUAGGUCUCUCUUAACGUAAUCAUCCCAUGUCAAGUUUGGUCUACCACGACCCCUCUUAACAUUCUCAUCACGCUUUAUCCGCCCGCUAUGUGAUACGUCUCCGACGUAUCGAUAAUUUCUUAUGUUCCAUGCCACAUUAUUGAUGUUAUCUACAUGUUUUAUGCACACUUUAUGUCAUAUUCGUGCAUUUUCUGGAACUAACCUAUUAACAAGAUGCCGAAGUGCCGCUUGUCUGUUUCGCUGUUUUUGGUUUCAGAAAUCCUAGUAACGAAAUAUUCUCGGAAUUGGACGAAAUCAACGCCCAGGGUCCUAUUUUGCCACGAAGCUUCUAGAAGACCGAAGAGGAGACGAAGUGGGGCCACGAGGUGGCCACACCCUAGGGCGGCGCGCCCCCCCCUUGGCGGCGCGGCCCUGUGGUGUGGGCCCCUCGUGCCGCCUCCUGACCUGCCCUUCCGCCUACUUAAAGCCUCCGUCGCGAAACCCCCAGUACCGAGAGCCACGAUACGGAAAACCUUACUGAGACGCCGCCGCCGCCAAUCCCAUCUCGGGGGAUUCAGGAGAUCGCCUCCGGCACCCUGCCGGAGAGGGGAUUCAUCUCCCGGAGGACUCUACGCCGCCAUGGUCGCCUCCGGAGUGAUGUGUGAGUAGUCUACCCCUGGACUAUGGGUCCAUAGCAGUAGCUAGAUGGUUGUCUUCUCCCCAUUGUGCUUAAUUGUUGGAUCUUGUGAGCUGCCUAACAUGAUCAAGAUCAUCUAUCUGUAAUUCAAUAUGUUGCGUUUGUUGGGAUCCGAUGAAUAGAGAAUACUUGUUAUGUUGAUUAUCAAA